rnacentral:rRNA from 1 species
AUACGUAGGGGGCAAGCGUUGUCCGGAAUUAUUGGGCGUAAAGCGCGCGCAGGCGGCUCUUUAAGUCUGGUGUUUAAGUGCGGGGCUCAACCCCGUGACGCACUGGAAACUGGGGAGCUUGAGUGCAGAAGAGGAGAGCGGAAUUCCACGUGUAGCGGUGAAAUGCGUAGAGAUGUGGAGGAACACCAGUGGCGAAGGCGGCUCUCUGGACUGUAACUGACGCUGAGGCGCGAAAGCGUGGGGAGCAAACAGGAUUAGAUACCCUGGUAGUCCACGCCGUAAACGAUGAGUGCUAGGUGUUGGGGGUAUCAUGCCCUCGGUGCCGAAGUUAACACAUUAAGCACUCCGCCUGGGGAGUACGGUCGCAAGACUGAA